rnacentral:rRNA from 1 species
UACGGAGGGGGCCAGCGUUGUUCGGAAUUACUGGGCGUAAAGCGCGCGUAGGCGGACCUGCAAGUCGGGGGUGAAAGCCCGAGGCUCAACCUCGGAACUGCCUUCGAUACUGCGGGUCUCGAGUCCGGGAGAGGUGAGUGGAAUUCCUAGUGUAGAGGUGAAAUUCGUAGGUAUUAGGAAGAACACCAGUGGCGAAGGCGGCUCACUGGCCCGGUACUGACGCUGAGGCGCGAAAGCGUGGGGAGCAAACAGG